rnacentral:rRNA from 1 species
UGGGGAAUAUUGCACAAUGGGCGAAAGCCUGAUGCAGCAACGCCGCGUGAGUGAAGAAGGCCUUCGGGUCGUAAAACUCUGUCCUCAAGGAAGAUAAUGACGGUACUUGAGGAGGAAGCCCCGGCUAACUACGUGCCAGCAGCCGCGGUAAUACGUAGGGGGCAAGCGUUAUCCGGAAUUACUGGGCGUAAAGGGUGCGUAGGCGGUUUAACAAGUCAGGAGUGAAAGGCUAUGGCUCAACCAUAGUAAGCUUUUGAAACUGUUAAACUUGAGUACAGGAGAGGAGAGUGGAAUUCCUAGUGUAGCGGUGAAAUGCGUAGAUAUUAGGAGGAACACCAGUUGCGAAGGCGGCUCUCUGGACUGAAACUGACGCUGAGGCACGAAAGCGUGGGGAGCAAAC